GUUUAAAGCCAUACCUCCCCAAAUACACCCUCAUCUGAUCUUGGAAGCUAAGCAGGGUCUUUGGCCUGGUUAAUAAUUUCAUGGGACACUGCCUGGGAAUUGAGGAUGCUUUAAAAA
rnacentral:rRNA from 1 species